AACCAUUCUCACCUGCGGCUAGACCUGCGGAGGGAUCAUUACCGAGUUUACAACUCCCAAACCCCUGUGAACAUACCAAUUGUUGCCUCGGCGGAUCAGCCCGCUCCCGGUAAAACGGGGCGGCCCGCCAGAGGACUCCUAAACUCUGUUUCUAUAUGUAACUUCUGAGUAAAACCAUAAAUAAAUCAAAACUUUCAACAACGGAUCU
rnacentral:misc_RNA from 1 species